rnacentral:lncRNA from 1 species
AUUGCCACCCAUCAAGAAUUUCAAGGUUGGGAAAGAAAUUCAUGCUUGAGGUCCAGCUCUCCCUUCAGUGAAUCCCAGGCAGCACUCCCUAAAUGAAAGCCCCACACUGCUGUUAAUAAGGGUAGUACCUGGGCCUCAGGACACAGAGCAUGGGAAGCUGUGACCACAGGUAGGAUGCUCAAACACACCACCAGGAUGUCCUCCAGGAUCCUAGAAAACUCAUUCCAGAGCCCAGUCUCAGAGAAGACUUGCUGGCAUGUGGUGUCACACCAACACUGUAAAACUAUAGGGGAAUUGCUUAUGAAAUGGAUUAUAAGUGCUUCAUUUCAAUGGAUACUUUUCUCACUAGCAGUAGUAGACAAAGAACAAGAAGAAAAAAUGCCAUGUGAAAAGAGAGAUGUAAGAUUGUAUGUACUCAAAAGUCAAGUGUGACAUGGAUGAGAGAAAACAUCUGAGAACAUAACGGUGUCCUAGCAGGACUGGGAGAGAAGCUUAAGAAAAGCUUCUCCCCAGCCACAUUUUUCUCCCUUGAGAAAAGCUUCUCCCCAGCCACAUUUCCAAGGCAGACCAUCUCCUUGAAAAAUGUUUGUGCAGGGCUGCAGAAAUGGAAGAAGCCCCCAGAUGCUAAUAGAUGUCUCUUGCUCCCAUGGAGAUGCCACCUGCGGUGCCUACCAUCUGGCUGGAUGACCCCCCCUUGUGGAUAGCUGGCACCAGAAGGGAUUUGGGAUGCCGUGAACUGCAACAUGCUAUCAUGCUUUUUAAAAUUAGCUCAGUGCCAGAUGCCAGAAGAGUCCCUUGCCAGGGUGUGUAUCAUCCCACUGAACUUCAGGACACCCUGGUGCGACAUGAGGCGGGGCGACUGUGCUUUCCACCAUGCACGGUACAUGCACCUGGCUGUUGGCUUUCAGCCUGGGCCUGGUGCUGCUGCACUUCAGCAUCUGCAGCAGCCCUGAGGAGUGCAAGAUUCCUCCCUGCCUUGGUGGCCAAACUGACCCCGGGUAUCCAAAUUUGGAUGGAGAUAGUCAUCAUGAGGACAUCCUGCUUCAGCCCUGUGCCUGACAAAAGCCCUGGUGGUGCCAGCAACAGAGAGAAACACAGGUCUUGAUAUUUCUUCAGCUCCAAGUAAAUUCUACCCCGGGGAAAACCCUGUGGAAGCUGGGCCUCAGGAAGAAGUUGAAAAUUAGGCUAUGAACUUAAAGGAAACCUCACAACGACUUUGAAGUGUGUAACCAUGACUCAUUGGAGUAAGCACCUGUAAUUCUCCCCUUGGGAAGUGAAUGGACUUCUAAACGUUGCUUGAGAGGGUGUGAUGAGGCCACUCCUAAGGGGAAGCAUAGUAUUAACAGGAAAAUAAUACUGCUAACGGGGAGAGCCUCUAACAGCCUUCUGUGGAGUAGCCAAUUUUGGGUGAUGGGACAUUUUUUAAAAUGAUGAAGCCAGAAGCACUUUUGCCAUGGUUAGUGAGUACAAGAGGUGGUUCUUUAUCUCCUGUGGUAGGCAACAUUUCAAUCCUGUGCAGUAGCUACAGCUUUUCUUCAAAGAAAAAUUAUAAAUCAACUUUGUUUCUGUCAGCCUUCAGAUCCUUUACAGAAAAUCCAUUCUGUUUUGUGGCUGUUGCAAUCAGUUGCAAUCAGUAGUUUGUCCAGCAAGAAGCCAUAAACCACAUGACCAUGUCAUGGGGCACCUGUUCCACUGGACUUUCUUGGCAGGAGUCUGCCAUGUCACAUUUGCUGUGGUAGGCAUACUACUGAUAACAUCAGUAAGAAGCAUGAGCUUCUUAGGUAUACAUUUUUAAUAACUUUUCUUUCUUUCCCCCGGUUCUUGCUGUUUCUUAGUCUACCACUCUUUCCUGAAAAUUAAUACUUGAGGGUGGCUCAAAUGAUAAGUCCACAUUCUCAUCGUCCCUCCAAGAUCUGCAGCUCAGUGAACUCUUAUCAAUUUUGCAAAAGGGAGCUGUAUUAAAGUGGCUUUGUUGCUCAGAUAAGGAAACAGCAAAUACAAGUGCAGCCAGAUGUACAAAUGAACCAUGUUCUGGAGCAAGAAGACUUAUGAAAGAACACAGGUCCCAGAAUAGGCAUCGGGGAGAAGAGUGAUGCAGGUGUGCUCAGACACAGGUGGCAAGCAAUUCUGCUCUUGGGAAGCAGGGAAAAGAUGGCACACUGUGCCAGUUUGAACAGCAGUGAGGUAAUUUUGUUCACUUGGAAAUAGAUGUCUUGGAAAAAAGUAGAGGCUGCGUGCCAAGAGGCUAUUGAUCACAUUGCUAAAUAAAGUAGUAGCCCCACUUCAUGGCAGGUUCUUCUAGAAGUGCCUGCUAAACAUUGAUGAGGAAAGGACUGGAGCCAUCCCAGCACACCAGCCUGGCACGACACAUGCACGGCAGCAUGUGGAGGGGCUGACAGGCCAUGUUCAAUACCAGCCCCUGAGCCAGUGCCUCCCAAAUCACCCAUCGGAAGGGACAGAUGGAGCUGAAGAGCCAUCACACAGCAAUCCAAAGACACGCAGGGAAAAGUGGUGUGACGGGAAGGACUUGCCUGCAGUCUUCUUCCACAGGAAAGCAAGGAGGGCAGCUGGAGAGUUCCCAGCCAAGGAGCCUAAUUGCCAGAUGAGUGGGAUGGGGGCGGUCAGCAAAAAUGCUGCUGCUCCUUGUUGGGGUCAUAGGAACAAGAGAAUAAUGCUGUGGGGUGGCUCAAGCAGUGAGUCUGCAUUUUCAUCAUCUGUCCAAGAUUCUAUGGCUUGCCCUUGAUACCACAAAAUAGAACUAGCCGCAAUGUUUCUGUCCCCUAUGCUAUGAAUAAUGUCCCUAAGUGACUUAGAUAAAAUGGCAACGGGAUUCCAUUCCAGCUUAAUUCCAAGUGAACAUGUCAAGAAAGGGAAUGAUGAAAUACUAACAGGAUGCCAAGGUCACCUUCUGGAUAGAAACCUUGAGCCAAGGAGGAUGGUACAAUUGUUGGAGGAGUGAACAUUGCUCAAAGAAUCAACUGUUAGAAGCACAAACAGUGCAAAAUGGGUAAGUCAUGGAGGAACUUACUGCAAACAUCUUACAGUUCUGAAAACCAACAAUACUUCUAUAGCCAUCAUCCACCUGCUUCUUUAUUGAUCUAGACAUCCUCGAGUCAGUCUUGCUACAGUUUCUAAUCUAUGAUGCCAAGUAAGAGGAGGGUUUCACAGAGGUGUUGGAGGGGCUCGGAUGGCUGGCGCUAUCUUGGCAGUCAAGAGGUAUCCUUUAUCUGUCAUGAAUGGCUUUGAGGAUCUGAGAAACAAAGGUCCUGCUCCUUGCUCUUAGCUGGUGUCCUUUGGUCAUGCUUACUCCACCAUGAAUACUGAUGCUUACUUAAGCCUGACUAUGCAGUACAUGACAUAAACCAUAUACAUUUAAAGAAAGUUAAUACCGUACUAUUUAGAAAAUCAAUACACUUUCAUAGUAUAAAAGAUUAUUUGGUACAAUAGUUAAUGAAUGAGAUUUUCCUGAUGUGAGCUGAGGCUAUUAGUUGGGAGCCAGAGGCCUAGCAGGAGAGAGGCAAAGCCAAAAAUCCCCUCUGCUGUCCAGCUGCAGCCCAAAAAGCAGCUGGACAUGGGUAUCUCCCCAUUGGAUUGACAGGCUUUCCGCUUCUCAGAGCGGUUUGUUUACAGCUGUGUCUAAAAUAAACGUUGCCUAAUUUUUUUUUUUCCGCUCCUGUUAUUCCUGUGGAGCAAGUUGGAUUCCUCUCUGACUCACGCAUGAUUAACUAACUUCCAGCUGCAUUAUCUUUAUUGUUGCAGCCGAUCCACAAGCCAGCGCUCAGCACGACUCGUGGAUCCCAAGCUGUGCUGGCGAGGCUGCCACUUACAGAAAAGGAUUUUUUUUUCUAACAGUUGUGGGGUUUGGGAAAUUUUAUUAUUUUUUAUUUGUGUAUGAAUGUACUUACUUAUUUAUUUAAGAGACAGCAAGUACCUGCUUUCUCGGGGACCGGAGAAAUAAAAAGAAACAACCGAUAACACUCCCUGACCCACCCCGUGCGGUGCUGCUGGCGGAGACGCCGUGCCCGGUGGCCGGGCGGCGCCGAGGGGGGUCCCGGCGCACGGCGGGACGGGAGGCGAUGGGACAGGAGGGUCCGGCAGUCCCGGCGAGGAAGCAGUUAAGGCCGGGCACCAGGAAACGGGAAGGAAGAGGCUGAGCUCAGCAGGAGCCGCACGGCGGAAGCCCCCCCAGCCCCGCUCCCGUUCCCGCUGGGAGCCGCCGCCGGACCGGGCGCACGUGCGGGAGCGGCGGCGCGGGGGCACGUGCGGGGGGGGCACGUGCGGGGGGGGGCACGUGCGGCACCGGCACCUGGCCGGCCGGGCGCGGGGCGGGGCGGGGGCAGGCAAGAGGAGCUCCCGCCGCGCCACCGCUGCUCCCGGGGAGACGGGGUCGUGUGCCGGCCUCGGGUGGUUUUACCCAACCGCUCGCCCCUUACAUAAGCCGGGAGCCGGUCCGCCCCCCAUUCCCACCGCCGUUCCCCCUUCCCCCUCCCGGGAGCCGCCCCCCUGCUGCAGAGAUGUGACACGCCCCCUCUCCAUCCCUCCCUCCCUUCCGUCGCCGUCCCCUCCCAGGAAGAAGCCGGAGUCGGCAGCGCCGCGGGCCCAGCAUGGAGUAGGGCGGCCCGGG